rnacentral:rRNA from 1 species
AGAGUUUGAUCCUGGCUCAGAACGAACGCUGGCGGCGUGGAUAAGACAUGCAAGUCGAACGGAACAUCAUGAGUAGCAAUACAAGUGAUGUUUAGUGGCGAACGGGUGCGUAACACGUGGAUACAUUCCGGGAAGCGGGGGAUAGCCCAGGGAAACUUGGAUUAAUACCGCAUGUGAUCGAGAGAUCAAAGACGGGGACCGCAAGGCCUGUCACUUCCCGAUUGGUCCGCGGCCUAUCAGCUAGUUGGCGGGGUAAAAGCCCACCAAGGCUACGACGGGUAGCUGGUCUUAGAGGACGACCAGCCACACUGGAACUGAGACACGGUCCAGACACCUACGGGUGGCAGCAGUCGAGAAUCUUUCACAAUGGGGGCAACCCUGAUGGAGCGACGCCGCGUGGAGGAUAAGGUCUUCGGAUUGUAAACUCCUGUCAUGUGAGAACAAGGCUGCCGGGUUAAUAACCUUGCAGAUUGAUGGUACCACAAGAGGAAGAGACGGCUAACUCUGUGCCAGCAGCCGCGGUAAUACAGAGGUCUCAAGCGUUGUUCGGAAUCACUGGGCGUAAAGGGUGCGUAGGUGGCGUGGUAAGUCAGAUGUGAAAGCCCGGGG